UUUUUCAGAUUCAUAAUUGAAGCUAGAGGUUAUACCAGAAUAGGUUCAUGUGGUUUAAUUUUCAGAAAACACCAUACAUUUGUUGUAGUGCACAUUGCUGCAGCUCCUCUUUUCACCCUUUGUGUUGAGCUCUCGGUUUUAGCUACCGAGUGAGAUAUCUCACUUCUGUUCCAUCUUUGUUGGGAGUUGCACAUGCGCAGUACCUAGUUUAGCACUACAAGCCAGCCAAAAGCCGAGUAUGAGGGUGUGCCAUGCUAGCAGCUAGGCCAGCAUUAUAACGUGUGUUACAAAGUGGUGCUUGUCUGUCACUACAAUAGAGCAGU